rnacentral:rRNA from 1 species
UGGGGAAUAUUGGACAAUGGGCGAAAGCCUGAUCCAGCCAUGCCGCGUGUGUGAAGAAGGUCUUCGGAUUGUAAAGCACUUUAAGUUGGGAGGAAGGGCAGUAAGCGAAUACCUUGCUGUUUUGACGUUACCGACAGAAUAAGCACCGGCUAACUCUGUGCCAGCAGCCGCGGUAAUACAGAGGGUGCAAGCGUUAAUCGGAAUUACUGGGCGUAAAGCGCGCGUAGGUGGUUCGUUAAGUUGAAUGUGAAAGCCCCGGGCUCAACCUGGGAACAGCAUCCAAAACUGGCGAGAUAGAGUAGGGCAGAGGGUGGUGGAAUUUCCUGUGUAGCGAUGAAAGGCGUAGAUAUAGGAAGGAACACCAGUAGCGAAGGCGACCACCUGGGCUCAUACUGACACUGAGGUGCGAAAGCGUGGGGAGCAAACAGG